UACAACACUUCAGCAUUUUUUCAGAGAAACACAAGUCUCCAACGCCUAUCAAAAGAAGCAGACCAUGUCAAGAAUGGGGACACUUUUCCUGACGAUCUUCCUUGGUGUGUCAGGAUUCACAGUUGUGGCGCUACCUCAAGCUAGAAAUUUAGCAUUGUAUGGAAGGGCCACCCAGUCAGACCUGGUUGAAAACCCCUCAUCAGGGUACAGUGAUGCCCACAAUGCCAUAGACGGAAAUCGUGACCCACAUUUUCA